rnacentral:lncRNA from 1 species
GUCCCCUGCAUGUCUCUCAGGGCGCUCCCCAGCCCCACCAACCUGAGAGGAAUGAGCUAUAACUAGACCAGGGCGUCUUGGAGAGAACUCAGCUUGACCAGAGUCUUGAGGCAUAAGCAGGGAGGAGAGUGGGAUAGAAGGAUACUUCCUGGCUUCAAGGGCAGGAGAUGAGAUUGGUUCCCAGCCUUGACACUGAGCAGGUGGGAGACCUCGAGCACUCUCUUACUGCCUCUGGGGUUUAGUGUCUGCACCUGUAGCCCCAGAAGCAAAAACUGAAAUAGAACCGUUUUGGUUUCCAGGGCGUUUGGCUCCAUCUUCUGGUCAGUUCUUGCCACUGCGGCUUUUGCAGUAUUGUGAUUCACCGUGGACAGCAGCCUUCUGCACCUCAGUUUCCCCAUCUGAUACACAACCAAUCAGCUCCCCGCCCCAAGACGGUUGAGAAGAUGAAACAGCUGCACCUUCACGUGGAUGAGUUAACAGCAGCCAAUCCCAGGCCGUGCGACCCGUUCCCCUGGCUGGAGCUGAUUGAUCCAGGGCAGAGCACUGAGAGUCAGAAGUUUGGAGUGGAAAGACCUCUGAUCUGCUGGUCCCCGGAGCCGAGUUCCCAUAAUGGCAGCGCUCUGGUAAGAAGCCCUCACACCCUCCCUGCUGCCCGGGCCCCUGGAGCCAAACUGCCUCCUGCCCUUCUUGAUAUUUCAGUAUCUUUCCACUAUGUUCCUGCCGUGAUUUAAGACAGCCAAAGUCAGACUUUGUUGCUGGUAAUCAAAAGAACCUCUGCUCGUGGAGGAGUAGAGACUUUAAGAGCUGGAAGAUGGCUGGAACGUCAUCUGUCUCCCUGUGCAGUCCUGCUGAGCUUGCAGAGCUCUGUCUGCCCUGCAAGGAUCCUCCUCCGUGCCCUUCAGACUGGCCCAUUUCUCUAGACUCACUCAUGCCUCCUCCACCGUCUGUGGGAACCCUCUCCCCACACCCCUCCCAACUGACUCAAC